rnacentral:rRNA from 1 species
AUUGAACGCUGGCGGCAGGCCUAACACAUGCAAGUCGAACGAGGGGCGGACGGGUGAGUAACGUCGGGGAACCUGCCCGCUGGUGGGGGAUAACUACUGGAAACGGUAGCUAAUACCGCAUACCAUCGGAUGUGCCCAGAGGGGAUUAGCUAGUAGGUGGGGUGGCGGGUGACCUAGGCGACGAUCCCUAGCUGGUCUGAGGGGAUGACCAGCCACACGGGAACUGAGGAACGGUCCAGACUCCUACGGGAGGCAGCAGGGGGGAAUAUUGGGAAAUGGGAGCAAGCCGGAUGCAGUGAUGCAGCGUGGAUGAAGAAGGCAUGAGGGUUGUAGAGUACUAGCAGCGAGGAGGCGGUACUCGCAGAAGAAGCACCGGCUAACUACGUGCCAGCAGCCGCGGUAAUUC